rnacentral:rRNA from 1 species
UACGUAGGGUGCAGGCGUUAAUCGGAAUUACUGGGCGUAAAGCGUGCGCAGGCGGUUUCUUAAGUCAGAUGUGAAAGCCCCGGGCUUAACCUGGGAACUGCGUUUGAAACUGGGAGACUUGAGUGUGGCAGAGGGGGGUGGAAUUCCACGUGUAGCAGUGAAAUGCGUAGAUAUGUGGAGGAACACCGGUGGCGAAGGCGGGUCUCUGGGCAACAACUGACGCUGAGGAGCGAAAGCGUGGGGAGCGAACAGG